AAUCGAACCCGGAGAUAGCUGGUUCUCCCCGAAAUAGCUUUAGGGCUAGCGUCGAGAGAAGAGUUGCGUGAAGGUAGAGCACUGAAUAUGUGAUGGCCCCAUCUCGGGGUACUGAGCAUAAUCAAACUGCGAAUGUCACGCCAACAUGCUCGGCAGUCAGACAGCGGGUGAUAAGGUCCGUUGUCAAGAGGGAAACAGCCCAGACCAUCAGCUAAGGUCCCAAAAUGUAUGCUAAGUGGAAAAGGAUGUGGAGAUGUACAGACAACUAGGAGGUUGGCUCAGAAGCAGCCAUCCUUUAAAGAGUGCGUAACAGCUCACUAGUCGAAUGACUCUGCGCCGAUAAUUUACCGGGGCUAAGCAUACUACCGAAGCUAUGGAUCCCAAGGGAUGGUAGGGGAGCGUUCCAUGAACGGAGAAGUACGACCGAAAGGACGUGUGGAGAUCAUGGAAGAGAGAAUGCCGGUGUGAGUAGCGGAACGUGGGUGAGAAUCCCACGCACCGAAAACCCAAGGUUUCCAGAGGAAGGUUCGUCCGCUCUGGGUAAGUCGGGACCUAAGGCGAGGCCGAAAGGCGUAGUCGAUGGACAACAGGUAGAGAUUCCUGUACCCGUAUAUAUGUGAAGGAAUGACGGAGAGAGGAAGCUGCAGCCAGCGGCUGGAAGAGCUGGUGCAAGCGAGAUAUCGGGAUGGCAGGCAAAUCCACCAUCCGAAACGAGAAGGCGUGAAGCGUACGGAAAGCUACGGCGAGUACGGAAGGCAGUGGAGGAACUUCCAAGAAAAGUUUCUAACGUUAAGUAUAUAUGGCCCGUACCGAAAAUGGACACACAUGGGUGAGGAGAGAAUCCUAAGGUGAGCGAGAGAACUAUAGCUAAGGAACUCUGCAAAAUGACUCCGUAACUUAGGGAGAAGGAGUGCUCAUAGAGAUAUGAGCCGCAGUGAAACGGCCCAAGCGACUGUUUACCAAAAACACAGCUCUCUGCUAAGCCGCAAGGCGAAGUAUAGGGGGUGACGCCUGCCCGGUGCUGGAAGGUUAAGGGGAGGGGUUAACGCAAGUGAAGCCCUGAACUGAAGCCCCAGUAAACGGCGGCCGUAACUAUAACGGUCCUAAGGUAGCGAAAUUCCUUGUCAGGUAAGUUCUGACCCGCACGAAAGGCGUAACGAUUUGGGCGCUGUCUCAGCUGUAGACUCGGUGAAGUCUUAGUACCUGUGAAGAUGCAGGUUACCCGCGACUAGACGGAAAGACCCCAUGGAGCUUCACUGCAGGUUGAUAUUGGGAUUUGAUGCAGCAUGUACAGGAUAGGUAGGAGGCAAAGAGAUGGAUACGCCAGUAUUCAAGGAGCCGCUGUUGGGAUACUACCCCUGUUGUAUUGGAUUUCUAACCGGACGACGUAGAGCCGUUGACGGGACAGUGUCAGUCGGGCAGUUUGACUGGGGCGGUCGCCUCCCAAAGAGUAACGGAGGCGCCCAAAGAUACCCUCAGCUUGGAUGGAAACCAAGCGCAGAGUGCAAAGGCAAAAGGGUGUUUGACUGCGAGACCCACAAGUCGAGCAGGGACGAAAGUCGGGCUUAGUGAUCCGGCGGUGCUGAAUGGAAAGGCCGUCGCUCAACGGAUAAAAGCUACCCUGGGGAUAACAGGCUGAUCUCCCCCAAGAGUUCACAUCGACGGGGAGGUUUGGCACCUCGAUGUCGGCUCAUCGCAUCCUGGAGCUGAAGUCGGUUCCAAGGGUUGGGCUGUUCGCCCAUUAAAGCGGUACGCGAGCUGGGUUCAGAACGUCGUGAGACAGUUCGGUCCCUAUCUGUCGUGGGCGCAGGAAAUUUGAGAAGAGCUGUCCUCAGUACGAGAGGACCGGGAUGGACGCAUCAAUGGUGGACCAGUUGUCACGCCAGUGGCAUAGCUGGGUAGCUAAAUGCGGAAGGGAUAAACGCUGAAGGCAUCUAAGUGUGAAACCCACUUCAAGAUGAGAUUUCCCAUUGCGCAAGCAAGUAAGACCCCUUAAAGACGAUAAGGUAGAUAGGUCAGGAGUGUAAGCAUGGUGACAUGUUAAGCGGACUGAUACUAAUAGGUCGAGGGCUUGACCG
rnacentral:rRNA from 1 species